rnacentral:rRNA from 1 species
UACGUAGGGUGCAAGCGUUGUCCGGAAUUAUUGGGCGUAAAGGGCUCGUAGGCGGUCCAUCGCGUCGGGAGUGAAAAGCUGGGGCUUAACCCCAGUCCUGCUUCCGAUACGGGUGGACUAGAGGUAGGUAGGGGAGAUCGGAAUUCCUGGUGUAGCGGUGAAAUGCGCAGAUAUCAGGAGGAACACCGGUGGCGAAGGCGGAUCUCUGGGCCUUACCUGACGCUGAGGAGCGAAAGCCAGGGGAGCGAACGGG